GAGUUUGAUCCUGGCUCAGGAUGAACGCUAGCGGCAGGCUUAACACAUGCAAGUCGAGGGGUAUAGUAGCAAUACUAGAGACCGGCGCACGGGUGCGUAACGCGUAUGCAAUCUACCUUUUACAGAGGAAUAGCCCAGAGAAAUUUGGAUUAAUACCUCAUAGUAUUAUUGUGUGGCAUCACAUUAUAAUUAAAGUUACAACGGUAAAAGAUGAGCAUGCGUCCCAUUAGCUUGUUGGUAAGGUAACGGCUUACCAAGGCUACGAUGGGUAGGGGUCCUGAGAGGGAGAUCCCCCACACUGGUACUGAGACAC
rnacentral:rRNA from 1 species